rnacentral:ncRNA from 1 species
CAUGUCAGGGUUUAAAGCAUAUUAAUAAGCAUAGGAAAGAAACUUAUAAGGAUUCCCCUAGUAACAACGAGCACUAAGUGAACUGAGAAAACCUUAGCCUUAGAAUCGGGUGACUCUGUAUUCGGAGAAGUGUCCUCAAUGGCGGAUCUAGCCAUUUUUCUUGGAAGAGGGUGCUAGAAAGGGUGAGAGCCCCGUUGUGAUCAAACCCUGUCACACUAUGAUGUGCUAUAUACAAGUCGAGCUGUUUGGGAAUGCAACCCAAAUCGAGCUUUGAAUCUGAAUGUGGCA